rnacentral:rRNA from 1 species
UACGGGGGGGGCAAGCGUUGUUCGGAAUUACUGGGCGUGAAGGGCUCGUAGGCGGCCAACUAAGUCAUACGUGAAAUCCCUCGGCUUAACCGGGGAACUGCGUCUGAUACUGGAUGGCUUGAGUUCGGGAGAGGGAUGCGGAAUUCCAGGUGUAGCGGUGAAAUGCGUAGAUAUCUGGAGGAACACCGGUGGCGAAGGCGGCAUCCUGGACCGACACUGACGCUGAGGAGCGAAAGCCAGGGGAGCAAACGGG